rnacentral:rRNA from 1 species
GACAGAGGGUGCAAACGUUGUUCGGAAUUACUGGGCGUAAAGCGAGUGUAGGCGGCUUGGCAAGUCGGAUGUGAAAGCCCCGGGCUCAACCCGGGAAGUGCACUCGAUACUGCUUAGCUUGAGUGUCGGAGAGGUUGGUGGAAUUCUCGGUGUAGAGGUGAAAUUCGUAGAUAUCGAGAGGAACAUCGGCGGCGAAGGCGGCCAACUGGACGAACACUGAUGCUGAGACUCGAAAGCGUGGGGAGCAAACAGG